UGCGCAGGCGGGCAUUUAAGUCAGUGGUGAAAUACUGCCGCUUAACGGUAGAACUGCCUUUGAUACUGAAUGUCUUGAGUAUGGUUGAGGUAGGCGGAAUGUGUAGUGUAGCGGUGAAAUGCAUAGAUAUUACACAGAACUCCGAUUGCGAAGGCAGCUUACUAAGCCAUAACUGACGCUGAGGCACGAAAGCGUGGGGAGCGAACAGGAUUAGAUACCCUGGUAGUCC
rnacentral:rRNA from 1 species